rnacentral:lncRNA from 10 species
GCUGCCCCAAGGUCACAGAACUGCUGGGGGCAGAGCCGAAUGCCUUCCCUCCAUCACCCCGCUUACAUAUUGAGAUGAAGCCUUUGUGGUUCUACCUGCCCACGUAUCUGUCAGCUUCUGUGCAACUCAUGUGUGCAGUCUAGUCCCCAGCGCAGUCCCUGGAACCUAGUAGGUGCUCAAUAAAUGCUUGUGAAACGCAAACGAACGGAAAUGGGACUAGAAAACCCAGGUCCUUAAUCUGGGUUUAGAUUAAGACCAGACAGAAUUUAGAAAUCCAAGAGUACUGACCAUUGUUUAGAGUCAGAGUAGCUGGAGGCUGGAUGAAUACACCCAACCCAGGGACGCCCGACCGCUGCCCACGCAGCUCCACUCCUGUCUACAGUGAAAAAAAGAGCCACUCCCUCCCUCCCUUCGUCAUCUCCCCACUCCUUCCCAAGGCUGAGGAUGAAGAUAUCCUCUGAGGGCUUCGCCUUAAAACCUUAGAGCUGGAAGGAAAUUUCCAUCGCCUCUAGUUACAGUCUAUGUAAUGUUUUCUUAAAUGAUUUUCAUUAAGUUCAUUCAAUAUUUAUUGUGCAUCCACCAUGAACAAGGCCCUAUAUUGCUCAAACAAGACAUGUGAUCCUUGUUAAAAUCAAAAGCAAAUUUACAAGUCAGGAGUCUUCUACAGCCAGAAGUAUUUAGUGGCCAAACAUAAGUAUUCAAUACAGACUAUAAAUACUGCAGCUGUUAUUUCAAAAAGCAAAAGCCCAUUUUAAAAGAGGUUAAAAGAGGUCAUUCUUGGAGAAGUUUUUUUCUUCUUGAUUGGAAAAAAAAUUUCCAGGCAUAGGGAACUGAUCACUGGACUGGGGAUGUGUCCCCAACUCUUUUCCUAGCCAAUACAGAUAAGAUCUGCUCUGGGACAACCAAAGAAAGCUAAAGAAGACAUGAUAUCUGGCAAAACAAGCCUAAACAAACCUCUGGAAAGUCAAGAAAGAAUUGGGGGGAAUGCAAGAUUUAUUAGAGCCUGCAGGAAACCAAAGUUCAAUUAAGUAAUUGAAAAUAUAGAGGCCGGGCAUGGUGGCUCAUGUGAGUAAUCCCAGCACCUUGGAAGGCUGAGACAGGUGGAUCACUUGAGUCCAGGAGUUCUAGACCAGCCUGGGCAACAUGGUGAAACCCCAUCUCUACAAAAAAUGCAAACAUUAGCUGGGUAUAGUGGCACACAACUGUGGUCCCAGCUACUCGGGAAGCUGAGGUGGGAGAAUUACCUGAGCCCAGGAGGUCAAGGCUGCAGUGGGCUGAGAUCUCGCCACUGCACUCCAGCCUGGGUAACAAAGACCCUGGAUUAAAAAAAGAAGAAAAAAAAAUAUGAAGUACUAUAAAAUAUGAAAAUAGGGAAAGGUUAGAGAAUGAGCUGCCUGGUUGUAUUAGGUGUUUGCUUUUCUUUAAGACUUGCUCUAAGUUGAUAUCAUAUCUCAGAGUCAGAGUCUCAGUUUAACAGAUAUGUGUGUACCUGGAGCCCAGCACGCUGUUUUACAUGCAAUGGAAGCCGUUCACGUUUGAUGCAAUUCAAGGCUUGCCACACUCUGAGGAAGCCUGACUCUCACUAUGGACUGGUGGCAGCUUCCCCAAAGUCUGGGUUCAGUUCCCAGGAGGAAGUGGCUUCUGAAGAGCACAUUUGGAUGCGGGAGAGUGACAGCGGGAGGGGCACCCCACAGGAAGGAAGCCCCUUGACAGAGGGCUGGCAGAUUAACGCAGCACACAGGUAAGCAUGGGACCCAGGAAAGGCUCAAGUUUGGGCACAUUUUCUACCAAGUGGAACUAACUGGUUUUUCUUGACUGAGGAGAGGGAAGAGGAGAGAAGUUGAGGCUGGACUGCAGGGACUGGCACCUCUUGAUUUGCCCGAGGUUCUCUGGCACCUGAAGCACAGCCUGCCCCUCAACAGUCACCAAGGCACUGUGUCUUAUCGGGGAGGAUAACGCUUCCUGUGGGGUUCAUCCUGCACAGCGUACAAAAUCUUCCGCUUCACUAUCACGCCAUCAUGAGAUCUGGAUAGGGUGGGAAUUAGCCUCUCCACCCCAAACCCCUGCCUCAUUUUAAAAUAAGAAAACUGGCCGAGCGCAGUGGCUCACACCUGUAAUCCCAGCACUUUGGGAGGCCGAGGCGGGUUGUUCACUUGAGGUCAGGAGUUCGAGACUAGCCUAGCCAACAUGGUGAAACCCACCUCUACUAAAAAUACAAAAAUUAGCUGGGCAUGUUGG